UAGAUAUUAUUAUUUAUAUUUAAAUUUUAAAUUUAAAUUAUUAUUUGAAAUAUUAAAUUUUAUAAAAGGUUUAUAAAAAAGAUACAAUAUUUAAAUCAUUUUUCAUAAGAAUUUAUUUAAAUUUUUCAUUUCAUGUAAAUCUAUUUUUUUUUCAAAAGUGUUUUUUAAGUUUUUUAACCAAAAUAUAUGUAAUUCUAUAUUUUAAAAAUAUAUAAAUAAUGAAUCUUCA
rnacentral:lncRNA from 1 species